AAUCAAUGGGAUCUAAUUUCCCUCUGAACAAAACUAUUUUAAGCACAGAUGACUGUGUCUUCUUGAUAGAUGGAAAAUACAGUUCUAAACUCACAGACCUCUGUCACAACACUUCCUGUAGGUACCAUCCACAGGAAGUCUGGCAUCUGCUAUUGGUGCAAUAAUUAAGUUUUGGACAGAAAAGACAGGCGCCAAAGCAGAGUUCAUGGCAAAGGACAGGAUAUUAUGAUAAAGGUUCAAACAAGGGCACAGUGGGAUUUUCACAGCCAGUUGAAAACAAUGGAUAAAAGUGGAAUGAUGUGACAAACACUGCACCUAAUAUGUAUCACCUUCUCAACAGAGGCACUAAGACUGACAAUAUACCUCGGGAAGUUGCACUAAACUGAACCAAUCUUUGCAAAUGUGCUCAAUAGUCAGUUAAAAGAUUAAAGCCUCUUGUCUAAAUCCACAUAUAGACUUAUUUAUCUUUGACCACUGGAGACACUUUUUAUGGUCUAUGGGUUUUGACUCCCUGAACAGUUUACCAGUCCAUCUCAGAGCCACAAACAACAAUCCACAUCUACAUUCUUACCUAUGGUUAGCUCAGAGUGUCCUGUUAAUCUUGCAGAUUUUUGCACUGUGAGAGGAAAUCAACUGCCAAACACCAAACAGGAGGAACACGCACACUCCAUUCAUUCUAUAAGAGCUCUAACUACUCAAUCACAAUGUGACAACCAUGUGAAGUAAAAAUUAAUACGAUAUGCUUUUACCUGUCACGGUCAACAUUUUAACAAACAACAGUGACGGACACUUCUUAUGUCACUGUAAUGACGUUGAGUUUAAAUUCUAAUCCCGACCUCUUUAAAAGAUUUGUCAAAGAAAGAAAAAUGCUUAGCUGGUUGGCUCUCCAUGACUUUAUUUGUCUUCUCUGAUUACUUGGUUUGAAUGAAUACUAAUCUUAGCAAACUCCCAGGCAGUUGAAUAGGAAAAGGCCAAUGAUAUCAAUACUUGAUCUGGUUAGAUCUGGUCAGCACAAGUACUACUUGAAGUGUGACUGUUUGGUUGUCCGACCUGUUUUUGCCACUUCACAGUGCUAAUUAGCCAAUUAAAUAAAUACAUACUGUAGUAUGUCAAUGAGUUAAAUUUAGCAUGUAAACAAAGCAACAGUUUAAAUCAUUAAAGGUUCCAGCCUUUUGUCAACAAGUCUCCCAAUAAACAUGUAACACAUGUAAUAAUAAACUCAAAUGACUUUGACACUGCUGGAAUAUACACACUCCCGGUGUUGCAGCCUCUGACGGAAGGCCGGCUCGAGGACCUGAAGAUAAAGUGGAACAAGGAAAAUGUCUGUUUGAAUGCUGGGUGUCUGUCAAAGCAGGAACUGGGAGGCGUUUUCAGUUGACCUUUGGGGGCAAGGACUUCCCAAAGCCCCUCUGCAAAACAACAGCCGAUUCCGCAGCUGACACUGGGACACAGGCUCCUCCUGCUCCUCCUUCUGCACUGACUUCUUCCUCUAUUUUUCCUUUCUAUGCACCUUUACGUACAAGGACAAGCAGCAGCGGCAGCAGCGGCUGUAGUUAUCACCUAACAGAUAGGAUCUGUCAGGAAUGUGGUGUUGCUCGACUGUAUGUGAACAAACACGUUGUCGUGAUGUCAACAAACCGUGGACAAACGGGUUAAAGUGAACGGUAGCUGAUCCCGCGCUGUGAACAGGAUUCAGACUGUUUACAGUGUGACUUGCUGCCUGUAUGAUUCAUGGAGAGCAAGCAAAGUACAAUUAAUGACUCACUAAGAUGACGUGAAGCAUAAAUAAACAUAAAAAGUUACACAAAGGUAAUAAUCUCCUCCUUAACUAAGCCGUCUUAGAACCUUAUUUUCAGGUUUUCAAAAAGAUCAAACAGACAAACUAGUUCAAUGCUGACUUAUAUUAGCGAUAUAUUCAUGGACUAAUGUUGGGCUACUUUUCCGUAUUUGAUUCAGGAAGUCACCUUGGUCAAUUUUAAGCAACAUGUGAGGAUUGGGAUUAAUCUAAUUUAAAUUAAUUUAGCCAUAAUUGUGAAGUUUUGAUAUUUUUCUUUUGUGGAUUAUUAGCCAUAUUUAGAGAUUACUAUUUAGUAAAACCUUUUGUAAAUUUUCUGCAACUUUUGUUAUUCAUACCAAGCUUUGAGUCUCACAUUUAUUAAACUUUGUAGUAAUUAGCUAAUAUUUACAUUAUGACAAAAGAUCACAUUCAUCGUUUUAUAAUUUUAUUAGGAAUCUAAAACCUGCAGUUACUCCUGGCCAGGACACAUUUGAUAAACUAGUUACUUCUGAAAGUAGGUUCUUGUAAAAAAAAAAAAAAACAACACGGAUCUUGUUGACUGCAGACUUGCAAAAAAAUAAAAAUAAAAAAGUAGUAUAGUUGUAACGUUGAAUUAACUACUGUAUGCAGGAGGCAAUGAGUAAGCAUCACUGACUCGUCAAUGUUUUUCUUUACCUUGUUUUGAAGACUGUUAGAGAAGAAGAAAGAAAACCCCGCCCCAAAAGCACUGCCCACCUCUGGAGCCUCCAUCAGCCCUGAAGAAGAAAGGGAACACCAACCUAGUGAUGCAUUUAGCAGCCACGACUGGAGUGCACGACUGUUUCCCUUGGGGAGAUGUGGUGAAAAAGUGACUACACAUAGCUCAGCUAUCACAUGUUUGCAAGGGUGUGGGGGUCCAGUGGGGAGGGGGUCAAAGGGUUUAAGACCACCAUGUGUUUCAGCAGCAAGAAGAGGUUGCAGAGCAGUAUGUGAGUCAUAGAGGUAAUUAACUUGGUAAACAUUUUACAACAUUUGCCACACAUGUUGCUUCAUCUUUAUAUAACUGAACACAUAAACAUGUUAAAUCCUGCCUGGACCAGCUGUUGAAUCCCACCCUUAACUGCCACCACUGUUUUCAGUUUCUUUUUUCGCUGAUUGCUUUGCAUACCAUUUGCAUUCUCAAUUUCAGUGGUUGGAGUACCAGUUUUAUAUGAUUUUUUCCCCCUACCUGGUACUAACUUCUGCACUGUACACUGCAAGUUAUGUUUACGGCCUCUGUCAGAGGGAAGACACAGGUAGGACCUCUUAUUAAAUUGUUGCAGCUGCUGUUAUGUACUGAGCACCGUGGUCUCCAUGUAAACACUGACCGACUUUAAGUGAAAGACAAUGAAAAAAGUCACAGGACGGUGAUAAGAAGGGGAAAAGACGGGGUUCAUUUGAAGACAUUCAAGGAUGGAUUUCCAGAUGAAACAGAAGGAUGACAUCAUGGUAAAGUCAGCUCGUAGGAACAUGGAGAGGCCUGCCAUCCCCCCACCUGCCCAGCACCCAGCCACAGACAGUGCAUUUACAUGCACUGUUAAGUGGGACUCCAUCCUCGGCUCCACCCAGCUGCUUCAACGUUAAACAAUCCCCAUCCCACUAAACCAGCACAGGAAGAUUUCAAGACCUUUCAAGACCUUCACUCAUCUCAUGUACAUUUAAUGUGUGUGGUACCUUUACAGUUACAGUCAGACACAAGCAAUCACAGGUUUAUUUCGUACUUAUUCCAAGCUGUGUUACUUAUUCUAUUUUUUUUGUCUUAUUCUCUAGUAAAACUAUAUUAUAAAACUAGUGGUUAGAAAGGGAUGCUUUGCAGGUGCAGUUGCAGUGUAACCUAUUUAGUUUUAAACAAAUAUGACCGCUGUACUAGGGCAACUUUCCACUUCACUGAUGGGUGUAUUACAUUUGUUAAUUUGCCUAGCUGUACUUCCCCAGUCAAGUACCAGAUAUGGUUUUCUGAACAUUACCUCAAAUUAAGGGGACAUCCUGUUAAGAAACACGAAUGCUCUGCUGCUCAUUUCAUCAGCUGUAAGUAAGAGCAAUGAUUUAAUGUCUCUUUGCAUUUUUGGCAUCUUAAUUUAUCUUUUUAAGAACUCAAGCAAGUUGCGUGACCUUCCCGUAGCUUUUAAAUUAUUUUCCGGCUGACUUCUGGAAAGAGAGACGUUCUUUCUUUUAUUUCAUGAUUAAAUCUUGUUUUCUGUCUGGUUCAACUGGAAUACAUUCAACUUGGUUUUUAACUGAUACUGUCACUUGUUGCCAAGUUAUGAGUCAAAAAGAUCACAGUAAAAGACCUUAGCAGAGAUAGUGGAGUGCAGUGUGGAACAGAUUCAAUUUUUACAUUAAAAACAACAACCCUCAUCAAUUUUCUGCAGCACCAGGGUUCUCAAAAGUUAUAACACUGUGUCUCAUCUCCAAAACAUAUUUGUCUCCCCAAGUAUUAACAAAAAAACCGGCGGCACAGCUGUACCUUGAUCAGAUAAGCACAGUAUAUGAAGAAGACAAGGGAUUCCUAAUUAGAUCAUUAGGUAUUUAUUAGCCAAAGCCACCCAGUACAAUGAUGUAGCACAACCUGAACUCAAAUUUAUUUCUAAAAAUCACACAUUUACAUAGACACGCCCACAAACGCAAAGUCGGAAGGAGUAAUAACAGCUGUAUUUAACACCUAAGUAACUAAACUAAAUGUUAUGACUGGAGUACGAUUCUAUUGCAUACCACUAUAAGAUGCCUUUGUACCACCAGUGGUACAUCUACCAUACUUUGAGAACCAAUCGUCUGGAUGUCAUUUUUAAUGAGCCCAAGACAUUCAGUCCCUUUUCUCUGAUUUCAUGCUUAACUACAGAGCAAAUUAAUCAUUUUUUAAUAAUUCAAGUCCCCAAAGAGACUCAGGGGCCGGGCAGUUAUCACCAGUGUUAUGGCCAAACUGGUCCCACCAACAUUUAAUUACCCCAUCAGGGUCGAAUGAAGCAAAAUGGCAGUUUGUUUUUUUUUUGUCUAA